AAGAAAAGAAGAUAUUAAAGCAAAUUCCAAAAGAAUUGCAAAACAGGGAUUCACUUACUGUAGAUGCUGGCUGCAAACCACUCGUUGAUGAUUUUCACCCAAGUGCUUGUCCACCCAACAUCCAUGCUCCAUCUGAUUGUUGCAAAGUGAGUAGAAGCAUAUAUACACUAGAAAAAUACUCUUACAAAAACUGCGAAAAUUAAUAUAUAUUACUCGCUUGCAGAGUUUUCCAGGUUCCAGCUGAUGAAUAACAUGGCAAAGUACGUGGCUCCCAAGGAGAAUAUGAUGUGGAAAAACCCGUAGUUGUAACGGAUAUCAUCCUCGGCUUUCACCUCAUCUUUGCGAAACUGGAAAACCGUAAGAG
rnacentral:lncRNA from 1 species